rnacentral:rRNA from 1 species
GAUGAACGCUGGCGGCGUGCCUAAUACAUGCAAGUCGAGCGAACAGACGAGGAGCUUGCUCCUCUGACGUUAGCGGCGGACGGGUGAGUAACACGUGGAUAACCUACCUAUAAGACUGGGAUAACUUCGGGAAACCGGAGCUAAUACAGGAUAAUAUAUUGAACAGCAUGGUUCAAUAGUGAAAGACGGUUUUGCUGUCACUUAUAGAUGGAUCCGCGCCGCAUUAGCUAGUUGGUAAGGUAACGGCUUACCAAGGCAACGAUGCGUAGCCGACCUGAGAGGGUGAUCGGCCACACUGGAACUGAGACACGGUCCAGACUCCUACGGGAGGCAGCAGUAGGGAAUCUUCCGCAAUGGGCGCAAGCUUGACGGAGCAACGCCGCGUGAGUGAUGAAGGUCUUCGGAUCGUAAAACUCUGUUAUUAGGGAAGAACAAAUGUGUAAGUAACUAUGCACGUCUUGACGGUACCUAAUCAGAAAGCCACGGCUAACUACGUG